rnacentral:lncRNA from 1 species
GGUGCCGCAUUCAAACUUGGUCACUAACCAUAUAUAGCUACGUCCAUUAUGGGCCAAAAGCAAAGUGCUAUGCAUAGGAAUCCAAGUAGGGCAUAUAUAGCAAGAAAACCACACUACCCAACAGAUUAGUGCAUCUCGAGAUAUAUUAGGAUGCAAAAGCAGCAUAUAUGUUGCUCAUUGUGUCUGAGUCUAGAACAAAUCCACUUUCCUUUUCAGCAUGUCUUGCUUCCAUCUUGGCAACUUAGAGAAUGCUUCUU